rnacentral:misc_RNA from 1 species
AACGCACCUUGCGCCCUUUGGUAUUCCGAAGGGCAUGCCUGUUUGAGUGUCAUUAAAUCUUCAACUUCAAAUGUUUUUGAAGCUUUGGACUAUGGAGGUCUUGCCGGCAGAAAUGUUAGCUCCUCUUAAAUGCAUUAGCGGAACUCUUUUAUGAAUGGACCAGCUUUGGUUUGAUAAUCCUAUCUAUGCUGUUGCUGUGGACAUAUUAUACUUUAUUCUUGUAGUUCAGCUUCAAAUUGUCUUUGGACUGUCUCAUCAACGAGGCACACACUUUUUUGACCUCAAAUCAGGUAGGAUUACCCGCUGAACUUAA